rnacentral:lncRNA from 1 species
CAUUUUCAAUUGAUAUCACUUCCUCCUCAGAGCAAGUCUUAGCUAAUGUUUCAUUAAGUCGAUCUGUAUACAUACUUACAGGUUUGAUAAUUUAAUCAAAUCGUUUUAAAAGAUGAACAAUGAUAUUGCAUAAAUCAUUAAAACGAUUAUCAUUGAGAUUGAAUGUUCUAGAGUGUUGUAAUUCAUUCCGUGUAAGUCGGAUGCCCUCAAUAUCAUCUCCAAUAGCUAUGUCAGUAUUCUGAAUAUCGAGCCAAGUCCCUCCCCAUGG